CCUACGGGAGGCAGCAGUGAGGAAUAUUGGACAAUGGGCGCAAGCCUGAUCCAGCCAUGCCGCGUGCAGGAUGACGGUCCUAUGGAUUGUAAACUGCUUUUAUACAGGAAGAAACACCCCGACGUGUCGGGACUUGACGGUACUGUAAGAAUAAGGAUCGGCUAACUCCGUGCCAGCAGCCGCGGUAAUACGGAGGAUCCAAGCGUUAUCCGGAAUCAUUGGGUUUAAAGGGUCCGUAGGCGGUUAGAUAAGUCAGUGGUGAAAGCCCAUCGCUCAACGGUGGAACGGCCAUUGAUACUGUUUAACUUGAAUUAUUAGGAAGUAACUAGAAUAUGUAGUGUAGCGGUGAAAUGCUUAGAGAUUACAUGGAAUACCAAUUGCGAAGGCAGGUUACUACUAAUGGAUUGACGCUGAUGGACGAAAGCGUGGGUAGCGAACAGGAUUAGAUACCCUGGUAGUCCACGCCGUAAACGAUGGAUACUAGCUGUUGGAAGCAAUUUCAGUGGCUAAGCGAAAGUGAUAAGUAUCCCACCUGGGGAGUACGUUCGCAAGAAUGAAACUCAAAUGAAUUGACGG
rnacentral:rRNA from 1 species